UCCUACGGGAGGCAGCAGUAGGGAAUCUUCCGCAAUGGACGAAAGUCUGACGGAGCAACGCCGCGUGAGUGAUGAAGGCUUUCGGGUCGUAAAACUCUGUUGUUAGGGAAGAACAAGUGCUAGUUGAAUAAGCUGGCACCUUGACGGUACCUAACCAGAAAGCCACGGCUAACUACGUGCCAGCAGCCGCGGUAAUACGUAGGUGGCAAGCGUUAUCCGGAAUUAUUGGGCGUAAAGCGCGCGCAGGUGGUUUCUUAAGUCUGAUGUGAAAGCCCACGGCUCAACCGUGGAGGGUCAUUGGAAACUGGGAGACUUGAGUGCAGAAGAGGAAAGUGGAAUUCCAUGUGUAGCGGUGAAAUGCGUAGAGAUAUGGAGGAACACCAGUGGCGAAGGCGACUUUCUGGUCUGUAACUGACACUGAGGCGCGAAAGCGUGGGGAGCAAACAGGAUUAGAUACCCUGGUAGUCCACGCCGUAAACGAUGAGUGCUAAGUGUUAGAGGGUUUCCGCCCUUUAGUGCUGAAGUUAACACAUUAAGCACUCCGCCUGGGGAGUACGGCCGCAAGGCUGAAACUCAAAGGAA
rnacentral:rRNA from 1 species